GUACAAGUUAUUCGCUCCGCAAACUGUUCGACUUACAAUCUGUUCGCUUGACAAUCUGUGCGCACUAGUAGAUAAAGGUCACGUGAUGGCAUUUUGUGCGCACGAUACUUUGAGUGACGUCAUCGACUGUAGCGCUACCUACUGCUUUAAUAUUUAUUAUUACCAGCUUCGUCUCUCUAAUAAUUCUAUAUAUUACUAUCUAAUCUUAUAGCAAGAUUUUGACGGCAUUGAAUAAUUUUCUAACCUAAAGUACCUAAACUAAUAUUCUCAUUUUUGAUUAGUUUAGAAUUUGAAAUUUAAAUCUAAAGUACCAUAUUCUAUUUUCUGUACAGUUUUCUCAGACUUUAUUGAUAGGAAUACGCUUUUCCGAGAUUAUUUUACCAAUUUAUUGACAAGAAUAAGUUAAUCUUAAAUCAUUUGAGCAUCAGCUACAGUAAUAAUAAGCAAGCAACCAACAUUUCCUGGUUUAACUGCGGAGGGUUGGUGUGUGGCUCCUUAGCAUCGGGACUGAAGCGGCGGAUGCUCUACUUUUUUCGCCCUAUAUUCAAAAAGUUAGAUCUUCCAUUUUUGGUUCUCUUUUUUCCAAAUUUUCCAUUUUUCUUUAAUUUCUUUUCUCGUUUGCUUUAAUUUAUAAAAUUAAUUGUUUUAUUUAUAAAAAUAUUCCUUGUAUUUGGUAAUAAAUUAAUUAUCAUAAACCCCUGAUUGCUGUCAGAUAGAAUUCUCAAUAAAGCGUUUUUCAUCAAAAUCAACCCAAACUUUCACUUGAAGUAUAUAUAUUUUAUUUUUUAAAUUUUAAUUUACGUAUUAUAUUUUGUCAAUUACCUACCGUAUAUAAAAUUGAAUUAUUUUCUCCAUAUCAUAAUGAUGUGAUACAUAAUUAUUAUGAAAUGAAUAUUGUUUGCUUUAUGCGACUCCCCCCCGCACACGGACCUGUCAUCCAAGCGGGGAGCCUAUUCAUAUGUAUUUAUUUUAUGUAAAUUUUAUAGUAUUUUAAAUGAAUAAAUACAUUUGAUUUGAUUUUGACGAUA
rnacentral:lncRNA from 1 species